UACGUAGGGUGCGAGCGUUGUCCGGAAUUAUUGGGCGUAAAGAGCUUGUAGGCGGUUUGUCGCGUCUGCUGUGAAAAUCCGGGGCUCAACCCCGGACUUGCAGUGGGUACGGGCAGACUAGAGUGUGGUAGGGGAGACUGGAAUUCCUGGUGUAGCGGUGAAAUGCGCAGAUAUCAGGAGGAACACCGGUGGCGAAGGCGGGUCUCUGGGCCGAUACUGACACUGGAGGAGCGAAAGCGUGGGGAGCGAACAGG
rnacentral:rRNA from 1 species